rnacentral:rRNA from 1 species
AAACUAGGAUUAGAUACCCUAUUAUUUUAACUGUAAAAUGUCAACCUAAUUAGUAUUAGAUACGAUCUUUAAAUUUAAAGAAUUUGGCGGUAAUUUAACUUUUCAGAGGAACCUGUCCUGUAAUUGAUAAUCCACAAUAAAUUUUACUUUUAUUAUGUUUAUAUAUCUCUAUCAUUGAAUGUCUUUUGAAGGAAAUUUUCUAAAUGAUUUUUUAAUCAAAAUGUUAGGUCAAGGUUUAAUAAUAUAAAAGUAGAGAUGGGUUACAUUAUUUUUAUAUGAGGAAAAUUAUAUGGAAAUAUAUUUGAAUUUGGAUUUGAUAGUAAAUUAUUUUAAAAUAAAUAUUUGAUAUUAGCUCUAUAUUAUGCACACAUCGCCCGUCGCUCUCAAUAUANUAUUGAGAUAAGUCGUAACAUAGUAA